rnacentral:rRNA from 1 species
GACGAACGCUGGCGGCGUGCUUAACACAUGCAAGUCGAACGGAAAGGCCUCUUUCGGGGGGUACUCGAGUGGCGAACGGGUGAGUAACACGUGAGUAACCUGCCCUUGACUUUGGGAUAACUUCAGGAAACUGGGGCUAAUACCGGAUAGGAGCUCCUGCUGCAUGGUGGGGGUUGGAAAGUUUCGGCGGUUGGGGAUGGACUCGCGGCUUAUCAGCUUGUUGGUGGGGUAGUGGCUUACCAAGGCCUUGACGGGUAGCCGGCCUGAGAGGGUGACCGGCCACAUUGGGACUGAGAUACGGCCCAGACUCCUACGGGAGGCAGCAGUGGGGAAUAUUGCACAAUGGGUGGAAGCCUGAUGCAGCAACGCCGUGUGCGGGAUGACGGCCUUCGGGUUGCAAACCGCUUUCGCUCAUGACGAAGCUUUGUGUGACGGUAGUGGGUAAAGAAGCACCGGCUAACUACGUG